rnacentral:rRNA from 1 species
UUGAACGCUGGCGGCAUGCCUAACACAUGCAAGUCGAACGCGAAAGAGGGGCAACUCUCGAGUAGAGUGGCGGACGGGUGAGUAAUACGUAGGAAUCUGCCCUAGAGUGUGGGAUAACCUGUCGAAAGAUGGGCUAAUACCGCAUAAUCUCUAAGGAGCAAAGGUGGCUAGCAAUAGCUUUCGCUUUAGGAUGAGCCUACGUCGGAUUAGCUAGUUGGUAGGGUAAUGGCCUACCAAGGCGACGAUCCGUAGCUGGUCUGAGAGGACGAUCAGCCACACUGGAACUGAGACACGGUCCAGACUCCUACGGGAGGCAGCAGUGGGGAAUAUUGGACAAUGGGGGGAACCCUGAUCCAGCAAUGCCGCGUGUGCGAUGAAGGCCUGAGGGUUGUAAAGCACUUUCGGUGGGGAAGAAAUGCUCAAAGAUAAUACAUUUGAGAGCUGACGUUAUCCACAUAAGAAGCACCGGCAAACUCUGU